AUGGACAACCCAGCUGGCUCAUGCUCCGUUUUGAUGAGGUUCUGGGAAGCAAGCCAGGAUCAGUCCACAAAAUGUUGUAAGAUGAAUAGCCAGAGAGGUUGAAGGAAACCAGGAGAGUGAAUGUAGUACAAUGGAAGGAAAGGAAGAGCCUAGCUCAACAAGGAAGAAGUUGUCAUCUGUGCACAUGCUUCUCAGAAGUAAGGUGAUGUGAACCUGCUGAAAUGCUGCAGGGAUUUCAGGCAAGUUAGCCUUGGCAGUGAGAACAGAUACAAAGAGAGAAGGAGGUAAGGAAGUUUCCUGAUGCCCACAAAGUUUAAAUAACGGACUCGAGGUUACCCAGCAAUAAAUGUUGAAAAAGAGUUUAAAUUAGUUGGCUUUCAGAGUUUGUGUUUUGGACAACUAUAUUCUACUUUGGACAGCACUGUAUUUUCUCAUUGUAAAAGCAGGCAGGAUGGAGUAAAAAAUAAAAGUCAAAACAAUUUGAAAACAAU
rnacentral:lncRNA from 10 species